rnacentral:rRNA from 1 species
UACGUAGGGUGCAAGCGUUUGUCCGGAAUUAUUGGGCGUAAAGAGCUCGUAGGCGGUUUGUCGCGUCUGCCGUGAAAGUCCGGGGCUCAACUCCGGAUCUGCGGUGGGUACGGGCAGACUAGAGUGAUGUAGGGGAGACUGGAAUUCCUGGUGUAGCGGUGAAAUGCGCAGAUAUCAGGAGGAACACCGAUGGCGAAGGCGGGUCUCUGGGCAUUAACUGACGCUGAGGAGCGAAAGCGUGGGGAGCGAACAGG